rnacentral:piRNA from 1 species
ACAAUGCCUUUGAAGAGUACUCUGCCCCUU